rnacentral:rRNA from 1 species
ACGAACGCUGGCGGCAUGCCUAAUACAUGCAAGUCGAGCGACCAGAUGAAGUGCUUGCACUUCUGACGUUAGCGGCGAACGGGUGAGUAACACGUAAGGAAUCUACCUAUAAGCGGGGGAUAACAUUCGGAGACGGGUGCUAAUACCGCAUAAUAUCUUCUUCCGCAUGGAAGAAGAUUGAAAGACGGCUCUGCUGUCACUUAUAGAUGACCUUGCGGUGCAUUAGUUAGUUGGUGGGGUAAUGGCCUACCAAGACGAUGAUGCAUAGCCGACCUGAGAGGGUGAUCGGCCACAUUGGGACUGAGACACGGCCCAAACUCCUACGGGAGGCAGCAGUAGGGAAUCUUCCGCAAUGGGCGAAAGCCUGACGGAGCAAUGCCGCGUGAGUGAAGAAGGCCUUCGGGUCGUAAAACUCUGUUAUAAGAGAAGAACAAAUUGUAGAGUAACUGCUACAGUCUUGACGGUAUCUUAUCAGAAAGCCACGGCUAACUACGUG